GGAGAUACAGCUCAGUGGUAAAGUGUGGGCUUAGCACGCACGAGGUCCUGAGUUCAAUCCCCAAUAUCUCCA
rnacentral:tRNA from 1 species